GAUGAACGCUAGCGGCAGGCCUAAUACAUGCAAGACGAACGGUAAGUUGAGUAGCAAUACUUAGCCAAGAGUGUCGUACGGGUGCGUAACACGUAUGCAACCUACCCUAUACAGGAGGAUAGCCUAGGGAAACCUGGAUUAACCCUUCAUAGUAUUAUUGGAUGGCAUCAUUUGAUAAUUAAAACUGAGGUGGUAUAGGAUGGGCAUGCGUCUGAUUAGUUAGUUGGCGGGGUAAUGGCCCACCAAGACGAUGAUCAGUAGGGGUUCUGAGAGGAAGAUCCCCCACACUGGCACUGAGAUACGGGCCAGACUCCUACGGGAGCAGCAGUAGGGAAUAUUGGUCAAUGGAUGCAAGUCUGAACCAGCCAUGCCGCGUGCAGGAAGAAGGGCCCUUUCUGGGGUUUGUUAAAACCUGCUUUUUGCCAGGGGAUAAAAUUUCCAUGCGUGGAAAACUGAAGGUACCUGGUGAAUAAGCCACGGCUAACUACGUGCCAGCAGCCGCGGUAAU
rnacentral:rRNA from 1 species